rnacentral:rRNA from 1 species
GACGAACGCUGGCGGCGUGCUUAACACAUGCAAGUCGAACGAGAGCGUAGAGAAAGCUUGCUUUUUCUACAAUCUAGUGGCAAACGGGAGAGUAACGCGUAAACAACCUGCCCUACGGAUGGGGACAACAGCUGGAAACGGCUGCUAAUACCGAAUACGUUCCGAAAGUCGCAGGACUAUAGGAAGAAAGGAUGGCCUAUAUUUAUAAGCUAUCGCCGGUGGAGGGGUUUGCGUCUGCUUAGCUAGUUGGAGGGGUAUCGGCCCACCAAGGCGACGAUCAGGAGCAGGACUGAGAGGACGAGCGGCCAGAUUGAGACUGAGACACGGUCCAGUGUCAUACGGGAGGCAGCAGGAGGGAUUCUUCCGCAAGGGGUGAAAGCCAGACGAAGCAACGCGGAGUGAUUGAGGACGGCCGUCGGGUGGUAGAUCUCUGUUAUACGGGAGGAAUAAUCUUGUGGUUAAUACGCAGGAGAAGUGACGGUACUGUAAGAGAAAGCCACGGCUAACUACGUG